rnacentral:RNase_P_RNA from 1 species
AGUCAGCUGGACAAUUGCUGUUCUCAUUUGUUUGAAAUGAGGAGAGAGGAAAGUCCGGGCUCCGAAGAGCAGAGUGCCAGGUAACUCCUGGGAGGCGCGAGCCUACGGCUAGUGCAGCAGAAAAGAAACCGCCUCGGCAUCUCGGUGUUGAGGUAAGGGUGAAAUGGUGCGGUAAGAGCGCACCGCGCGACUGGUAACAGCUCGUGGCAAGGUAAACCCCACUUGGAGCAAGGCCAAAUAGGAAUCAUCUAAUGCUGCUCGCAUUUGAUUCGGGUAGGCCGCUAAAGGUUUGUGGUGACACAGGUCUUAGAUGAAUAAUUGUCCUAGACAGAACCCGGCUUAUAGGCUGACUCA